rnacentral:rRNA from 1 species
AUAAUCUAGUUAAAGCCAUUGGUGGAUGCCUUGGCGUCAUAUGGCGAUGAAGGACGCAGCAAGCUGCGAUAAGCCUCGGGGAGCGGCAAACACGCUUUGAUCCGGGGAUUUCCGAAUGGGGAAACCCAAUACCCGUAAUGGGGUAUUACUCCCAGCUGAAUAUAUAGGCUGGGUAGAGCGACACGCGGUGAAGUGAAACAUCUCAGUAACCGCAGGAAAAGAAAGAGAAUCGAUUCCGUAAGUAGCGGCGAGCGAAAGCGGAACAGCCCAAACCAGAGUGAUUUAUCACGCUGGGGUUGUAGGACUAUAAUGUGAGAAGCAACGGAUAGACGAAUACCUUGGAAAGGGUAACCAUAGAGGGUGACAGUCCCGUAGUUGAAAUCCCGCGCCGAUCUAAUAGUAUCCUGAGUAGCACCGGACACGUGAAACCCGGUGUGAAUCUGCGCCGACCACGGCGUAAGGCUAAAUACAAGAUGACGACCGACAGUGAACUAGUACCGCGAGGGAAAGGUGAAAAGCACCCCUGUUAGGGGAGUGAAAUAGUAACUGAAACCGAUGGCUAACAAAUCAGUAGGAGCCGCCUUGUGCGGUGACUGCCUGCCUUUUGUAUAAUGAGUCUGCGAGUUUAUGUCCGUAGCAAGCCUAAGCUGCUAAGCAGUGGAGGCGUAGCGAAAGCGAGUCUGAAUAGGGCGAUUGAGUUGCUGGCAUAAGACCCGAAGGGGAGGUGAUCUUACCAUGACCAGGUUGAAGCGUUAGUAAAAUAACGUGGAGGACCGAACCGGUGUAGCUUGAGAACUGCUCGGAUGAGUUGUGGUAAGGAGUGAAAGGCUAAUCAAACCCCCUGAUAGCUGGUUCUUUCCGAAAUAUAUUGAGGUAUAGCGUCGAGCGCUGACCUGUGGAGGUAGAGCACUGAAUAAGCUAGGGCCCCUACCGGGGUACUGAACUUUAUCAAACUCCGAAUGCCACAGGGUGAAGCUCGGCAGUCAGACUUAGGGUGCUAACGUCCUAAGUCGAGAGGGCAACAACCCAGACCAUCAGUUAAGGUCCCUAAAUGUGGCUCAGUGGUAAAGGAUGUGAUUUUACUUAGACAAUGGGGAUGUUGGCUUAGAGGCAGCCAUCAUUUAAACAGUGCGUAACAGCUGACCCAUCGAGUGAAAUUGCGCCGAAAAUGAUCGGGACUUAAGCCACAUACCGAAGCUAUGGAUUUCAGUUCUUCGGAACUGGAGUAGUAGGAAAGCGUUCCAAGUGCAGUGAAGGAGAAGGGGCAACCGACUCUGGAGCGCUUGGAAGUGAGAAUGCAGACAUGAGUAACGAUAAAGAUGGUUAAAGUCCAUCUCGCCGUAAGGAUAAGGUUUCCUGGGGAAGGCUCGUCCUCCCAGGGUUAGUCGGGAGCUAAGAUGAGGCCGUAAGGAGUAAUCGAUGCACAGAAGGUUAAUAUUCCUUCACCGGCUUGCAACUAUUCCCAGAGUGCGGAUCGACGGACCCUACAGACCUGUUUUGACAAGGCACUGCAAAGCUACGGCUGCGUGGGUGUAGGGAAAGAAGGUUCCAAGAAAAGCUCUGGAAUUACUAUGCAGGUCGCUCGUACCGCAAACCGACACAGGUAUCCGGGAUGAGUAUUCUAAGGCGCGUGAGUUAAAUCUCUCUAAGGAACUCGGCAAAUUUGCCCCGUAUCUUCGGUAGAAGGGGCGCCCCCUCUUGGGGGGCCGCAGUAAAGAGGCGCAACCGACUGUUUAGCAAAAACACAGCUCUCUGCUAAGUCGCAAGACGAUGUAUAGGGAGUGACACGUGACCAAUGCGAAAAGGUGAACGUCUGGGGUGAGAGCUCCGGGCCCAAGCCCUCGUGAAUGUCGGCCGUAACUAUAACGGUCCUAAGGUAGCGAAAUUCCUUGUCGGGUAAGUUCCG